UAAGGAAUAUUGGUCAAUGGACGCAAGUCUGAACCAGCCAUGCCGCGUGAAGGAUUAAGGCCCUCUGGGUUGUAAACUUCUUUUAUAGGGGAAGAAAUGUGACGGUUCUCCGUCACUUGACGGUACCCUGGGAAUAAGCACCGGCUAACUCCGUGCCAGCAGCCGCGGUAAUACGGAGGGUGCAAGCGUUAUCCGGAUUCACUGGGUUUAAAGGGUGCGUAGGUGGGCAGAUAAGUCAGUGGUGAAAUCUUCCGGCUUAACUGCAGAAUUGCCAUUGAUACUGUUAGUCUUGAGUACAGUUGAGGUAGGCGGAAUGUGUCAUGUAGCGGUGAAAUGCUUAGAUAUGACACAGAACACCGAUUGCGAAGGCAGCUUACUACAUAUAAAUUGACGCUGAGGCACGAAAGCGUGGGGAUCAAACA
rnacentral:rRNA from 1 species